rnacentral:rRNA from 1 species
CGGACUGGUGAGUAACGCGUGAGGAACCUGCCUUUCGGAGGGGGACAACAGUUGGAAACGACUGCUAAUACCGCAUGACGUAUCGGGAUCGCAUGGUCUUGAUACCAAAGAUUUUAUCGCCGAAAGAUGGCCUCGCGUCUGAUUAGCUAGUUGGCGGGGUAACGGCCUACCAAGGCGACGAUCAGUAGCCGGACUGAGAGGUUGGCCGGCCACAUUGGGACUGAGAUACGGCCCAGACUCCUACGGGAGGCAGCAG